UACGUAGGGUGCUAGCGUUGUUCGGAAUCAUUGGGCGUAAAGCGCGUGUAGGUGGUUAAGUAAGUCGGGUGUGAAAUCCCUGGGCUCAACCGAGGAAGUGCAUUCGAAACUACUUAGCUAGAGGACGGUAGAGGAAGGUGGAAUUCCUAGUGUAGAGGUGAAAUUCGUAGAUAUUAGGAGGAAUACCGGUGGCGAAGGCGGCCUUCUGGGCCGGUUCUGACACUGAGACGCGAAAGCGUGGGUAG
rnacentral:rRNA from 1 species